rnacentral:rRNA from 1 species
GGUUAAGUGACUAAGCGUACACGGUGGAUGCCUGGGCAGUCAGAGGCGAUGAAGGACGUACUAACUUGCGAUAAGCGCAGAUAAGGCAGUAAGAGCCGUUUGAGUCUGCGAUUUCCGAAUGGGGAAACCCAACUGCAUAAGCAGUUACUGUUAACUGAAUACAUAGGUUAACAGAGCAAACCGGGGGAACUGAAACAUCUAAGUACCCCGAGGAGAAGAAAUCAACCGAGAUUCCGGUAGUAGCGGCGAGCGAACCUGGAUUAGCCCUUAAGCACUCGGUGAAGUAGGUGAACAAGCUGGAAAGCUUGGCGAUACAGGGUGAUAGCCCCGUAACCGACGCUUCAUCGAGCGUGAAAUCGAGUAGGGCGGGACACGUGAUAUCCUGUCUGAAUAUGGGGGGACCAUCCUCCAAGGCUAAAUACUCCUGACUGACCGAUAGUGAACCAGUACCGUGAGGGAAAGGCGAAAAGAACCCCUGUGAGGGGAGUGAAAUAGAACCUGAAACCGUGUACGUACAAGCAGUAGGAGCACCUUCGUGGUGUGACUGCGUACCUUUUGUAUAAUGGGUCAGCGACUUAUAUUCAGUGGCAAGGUUAACCGUAUAGGGGAGCCGUAGCGAAAGCGAGUCUUAACUGGGCGCUCAGUCUCUGGAUAUAGACCCGAAACCGGGUGAUCUAGCCAUGGGCAGGUUGAAGGUUGAGUAACAUCAACUGGAGGACCGAACCGACUAAUGUUGAAAAAUUAGCGGAUGACUUGUGGCUAGGGGUGAAAGGCCAAUCAAACUCGGAGAUAGCUGGUUCUCCCCGAAAGCUAUUUAGGUAGCGCCUCGGACGAAUACUACUGGGGGUAGAGCACUGUUAAGGCUAGGGGGUCAUCCCGACUUACCAACCCUUUGCAAACUCCGAAUACCAGUAAGUACUAUCCGGGAGACACACGGCGGGUGCUAACGUCCGUCGUGGAGAGGGAAACAACCCAGACCGCCAGCUAAGGUCCCAAAGUAUUGCUAAGUGGGAAACGAUGUGGGAAGGCUCAGACAGCUAGGAUGUUGGCUUAGAAGCAGCCAUCAUUUAAAGAAAGCGUAAUAGCUCACUAGUCGAGUCGGCCUGCGCGGAAGAUGUAACGGGGCUAAGCAAUACACCGAAGCUGCGGCAAU